AGCCCUAUAUUCAACAAUGAUAUUAAAUUGCAAAUUUAAAGGAAAAAUAAAAUUUUUAAGGCUU
rnacentral:tRNA from 1 species